rnacentral:rRNA from 1 species
GAUGAACGCUGGCGGCGUGCCUAAUACAUGCAAGUCGAGCGAACGGACGAGAAGCUUGCUUCUCUGAUGUUAGCGGCGGACGGGUGAGUAACACGUGGAUAACCUACCUAUAAGACUGGGAUAACUUCGGGAAACCGGAGCUAAUACCGGAUGAUAUUUUGAACCGCAUGGUUCAAAAGUGAAAGACGGUCUUGCUGUCACUUAUAGAUGGAUCCGCGCUGCAUUAGCUAGUUGGUAAGGUAACGGCUUACCAAGGCAACGAUGCAUAGCCGACCUGAGAGGGUGAUCGGCCACACUGGAACUGAGACACGGUCCAGACUCCUACGGGAGGCAGCAGUAGGGAAGCUUGCGCAAUGGGCGAAAGCCUGACGGAGCAACGCCGCGUGAGUGAUGAAGGUCUUCGGAUCGUAAAACUCUGUUAUUAGGGAAGAACAUAUGUGUAAGUAACUGUGCACAUCUUGACGGUACCUAAUCAGAAAGCCACGGCUAACUACGUG